rnacentral:rRNA from 1 species
UACAGAGGUCUCAAGCGUUGUUCGGACUCAUUGGGCGUAAAGGGUGCGUAGGUGGCGCCGUAAGUCGGGUGUGAAAUUUCGGAGCUUAACUCCGAAACUGCAUUCGAUACUGCGGUGCUUGAGGACUGGAGAGGAGACUGGAAUUCAUGGUGUAGCAGUGAAAUGCGUAGAGAUCAUGAGGAAGACCAGUGGCGAAGGCGGGUCUCUGGACAGUUCCUGACACUGAGGCACGAAGGCCAGGGGAGCAAACGGG